rnacentral:ncRNA from 1 species
AUUCCUACUAUUAUUGCCGUGUCCAUAAUUCAUAUAAUGAUAGGCAGUAA